rnacentral:rRNA from 1 species
AUUGAACGCUGGCGGCGUGCCUAACACAUGCAAGUCGAGCGGUAACAGGUGUAGCAAUACAUGCUGACGAGCGGCGGACGGGUGAGUAACGCUUGGGAAUCUGCCUGAUAGUGGGGGACAACCCGGGGAAACUCGGAUUAAUACCGCAUACGCCCUAAGGGGGAAAGCAGGGGAUCUUCGGACCUUGCACUAUUGGAAGA